rnacentral:rRNA from 1 species
GCCUUAGUAGCGGCGAGUGAGCGGCAAAAGCUCAAAUUUGAAAUCUGGCGCCUUCGGUGUCCGAGUUGUAAUUUGAAGAUUGUAACCUUGGGGUUGGCUCUUGUCUAUGUUUCUUGGAACAGGACGUCACAGAGGGUGAGAAUCCCGUGCGAUGAGAUGCCCAAUUCUAUGUAAGGUGCUUUCGAAGAGUCGAGUUGUUUGGGAAUGCAGCUCUAAGUGGGUGGUAAAUUCCAUCUAAAGCUAAAUAUUGGCGAGAGACCGAUAGCGAACAAGUACAGUGAUGGAAAGAUGAAAAGAACUUUGAAAAGAGAGUGAAAAAGUACGUGAAAUUGUUGAAAGGGAAGGGUUUGAGAUCAGACUCGAUAUUUUGUGAGCCUUGCCUUCGUGGCGGGGUGACCCGCAGCUUAUCGGGCCAGCAUCGGUUUGGGCGGUAGGAUAAUGGCGUAGGAAUGUGACUUUACUUCGGUGAAGUGUUAUAGCCUGCGUUGAUGCUGCCUGCCUAGACCGAGGACUGCGAUUUUAUCAAGGAUGCUGGCAUAAUGAUCCCAAACCGCCCGUCUUGAAACACGGACCAA